UACGUAGGGGGCUAGCGUUGUCCGGAAUCAUUGGGCGUAAAGAGCGUGUAGGCGGCCCGGUAAGUCCGCUGUGAAAGUCGGGGGCUCAACCCUCGAAUGCCGGUGGAUACUGUCGGGCUAGAGUCCGGAAGAGGAGAGUGGAAUUCCUGGUGUAGCGGUGAAAUGCGCAGAUAUCAGGAAGAACACCAAUGGCGAAGGCAGCUCGCUGGGACGGUACUGACGCUGAGACGCGAAAGCGUGGGGAGCGAACAGG
rnacentral:rRNA from 1 species